rnacentral:rRNA from 1 species
UACAGAGGUGGCAAGCGUUGUUCGGAAUUACUGGGCGUAAAGGGCGCGUAGGCGGUUCGUUAAGUCCUGUGUGAAAUCCCCCGGCUCAACUGGGGAACUGCACAGGAAACUAGCGGGCUUGAGUUCGGGAGAGGGAAGCGGAAUUCCGGGUGUAGUGGUGGAAUGCGUAGAGAUCCGGAGGAACACCAGUGGCGAAGGCGGCUGCCUGGGCCUGGCCUGACGCUGGGGCGCGAAAGCGUGGGGAGCGAUCCGG